UUUUCAGAGUAUCAUGUUUUUUGUGCUUAAAAAGCCGUAUUUUGUGCGGAAGUUCCCUGUGAGGAUCGAGGCCGCGCUCGGGCGCCGCAGAGGUCGCCAAGACGCACAGAGGCUGUUUCUCUAAUGUGUCAAGAUUGUUUUGAAGUUCCAGCCCAGCCUCCCAAGUACUUGAAGUCCCUCCCGGCUUGGUAUCAUUUGCAGCUAUGCCUUUGAACUGCAAGCCCCAUGCUGGGAAGACCUGUGCAGCUCCCACACCUGGCUCGUCAACAGGCAAACCCAUCGCUGCGAACGUGACUUAUAAGUGACACCAAAGCUUUUCGUGAGCUGUCGCAGAAAUUUG